rnacentral:rRNA from 1 species
UAGGGAAUCUUCCACAAUAGACGCAAGUCUGAUGGAGCAACGCCGCGUGAGUGAAGAAGAUCUUCGGAUCGUAAAACUCUGUUGUUAGAGAAGAACACGAGUGAGAGUAACUGUUCAUUCGAUGACGGUAUCUAACCAGCAAGUCACGGCUAACUACGUGCCA